rnacentral:lncRNA from 1 species
AUGGGCUUUGGAGAACUGCGGGAACGGAUAUUGAACAUUGGAAAAGAACCUCGUCUUGAUGAAGACGUGCUGAUGCAGGAUGUUUCUUUCCCUCUAGCUCAAUGGAGACUUUCUCUUCCUCCGAAUCAUACUACGACUUCUACCUGUUUGCCUGGACAAGGAGCAGAGAAACACGCUGAAUACUCCAGAAUUGUCUUACAUGGAUUAUUGCCCGUUAUUCUGUACAAAAGUUUUUUGAAAACAAAGUCAAAGUACAUGGAAGGACUACUGAGAUCAUUUUGUUCAGGCAUGUGCACAAGAGGGUGGAGCUUAUCAGAAGGAAGGCAACUGUAUCAUUAUCGCCUUGAAUACAAACUGAAGGCUGAGUAACUGGCAGGUUCUCACUGUUCUCCCACAAGGUAAGUCUGAAAAUCCUUGAGAAGAUAUUGUAGAAUGUGUUCUUUCAUCCAGGUCUAAUCAUCGUACACAUUAGAUAUGACUUGUUUGUUAUUUAAUGCAUUUGUUCUUCAAAGAGAAAUAUAUCAUUUUCCUGUCCCAGGAAGGUGCAAGCUAAGGUCUGAUGAAUCAGCCUUCCAACUGAAUACAUGCUACAGGGGUAGAGACAGGGAUUUUCUAACAUAGAAUAUGGCUGGAGAUACGUUGUAAGGCCUCAAGGAUUUAUCCAAAUUUCUUUUGGGCUAAUAACUUAUUUAAAGAAAAUUAAGGGAUUUGGACUGAUAGUAGCAGUGGUCUUGAUAAUAACAUCGUACAUUUGUAAAGAUCUUUCGUCUUUAUUAAAAGAUGUAAAAAGUGGUGGCUAGUGUGGAAAAUGCCUUAUUUAGAGAGAAAAUAAGGGAAUGAUAGACUAUACCUCUCAAAUACUUCAAGGUCAUCAUUUCUUUCUGUCUUGUUAAAACAUGAAGAUAAGGAACAUGAUGGAUAACUGUCAGAGCUGUGAUUGUCUCUUGCUGUAGCGGAAGCAGAACAAGAAGGCCAAACUGACGUUGAUAGAUCUGUGUUGUGACAUGAGCUGGCAUGGCAUCACAGUGAUCAUUGCCAUGUCCGCGACGAGUCCUUCCUGUAGCAGGAAGAUUAGCUUCUGCUGGCAGAAUCUUUUCUAACUCUUGAUGCCUGCCUUUUUAGGCAAUUCUGUUUCUGCUGCCUCAAGUAGCUCCUUGGUUCCUCUGUAGGAACAGACAACCAUCUCUGGUGGCUUGGAGGUUCACCUCCCAAAAAGAGAGAGUCUGGAAAGAUGAUAGCUGUGAGGCCUGGAAUCCAGGACACUUGUCUGGAAUGACUCAGCAGUUUCAAGGGAGAGUCCUUCAGUAUCUUCUGUAGCAGUUGUUGUAGCAGUUUGUUCAAGGAGUUGUUGAACUGUUGGGCUCUCAGUCACUUCUACCUGCCUGGAGGAAGGAGAUCAUCUGCUCAGUUCCCUCACAAAGGCAGUAGUGUCCACUUUUCCCUUGACCAUCCCUCUGGAUCCUGGAACUCAGUCUGCACAAUCAUUGAAGUUCGUUUUGCCCACUGCACAUGGUUAUUGUGAUUUUAUUGCCAGGUCAAGGAGGAGUACUUGCAGGGCUGAGGAUAUGCUUGUCAUCUGAGAAAUUCAGAGAAGUUGAAAAAUUAAUUUAUGUUAUGUGGAGUAGAGAGCUAAACAACUGUGCUGGAAAAUGAGCCAUAUAAUAUACUUUUUUUCUAUGAAUCUUCUUUUAUGUGACUGUAGAAUGAUAUCAUGAUAUGGGAACACCAACUGUUUUCUCUUUAUGUAAUUUACCAUGUGAGGUUACUUUUUAUUGCCAUAUAUACUUAAGUUUGACCAUGUAUAGAUCUACUAAAAAUAGAAUUACAGCUUCAUUUUAAUUACAGCCAUUUCAAUUACUCAUCAGCGUAACAAUGAAAAAUAGAUGGGUACCACAAAGAUACUGUCGCUGAGUUUGCACCUCUUUGAAUGGCUUCCUGUGAGUGUUGCAUGUGUUGUUAGAUAAUUAUGAAGAUUCGCUGUUGCAUAUGGGUGGAUGUACUUACUUUUAAUAAUCUGCAAGCAUUGGAGGAGGUGCCACAUUGAAAACAUAAGAAUAUUAAUCUUAGUAGAAGUUAGUUCAUCCCAUCUACUCUUUUAUCUCUGUUAAACUAUUGGGGAUUUAGUUUGCUUUUUUUCCUCCUUUUCCUCAGUUUUUGCUGUGGCAAAGGAAAGAUUUGAGAUCACAAAGGAACCAGAUAAUUAAACUUUUUCAAGAGUCAUAGCCAGGACUGCUUAGAAAAAGUGAAGUCACUGGUAAGGAUUUCCCAUCUCUCUAAAGCUCCAUGCAGCUUAUUUAGUGCCACACAGAAAGUUGAACACUUAUCUGUGAUGUGGUAGUUGGCACGGAAGGAAGGUAGCAUAUUCCAAGAGCUUCUCUCAACCUGCACAAUUGCUGUUAGAGGGGAAGACCUCUGAUCACUUGCAAUGUAGUCUGCAGCUUCCUCUAUUAAACCAGGGGUGGCCUCACUAUACAAGGCAAUAAGACACAUAGGUUUUGUAUCAUGUUGUUUGAACAUGGUAUGAGUAAGUACGAGAAGUCUUUCCUCGUGAACAUGUUUUUUAUUAUCAGUGGAUCAUGUUUAAAUGUGCCUAAACCUCAUUCUCUGUCCUCUCAAUGUGGAAACUGUUAGCCAGUGGGCAAUUUCAAAGACAUAUGAACAUGCUGAUUUUGUGUUGCCAACAUCAAAGUCAUAUGUGUGAAUCAGAUAGUAACAGUUAUGAGUUAAAUGGUACACUAUUAGCUGCAGUAUUUCAAACAAAACAAAGGAAAACAAAACAAAACUCAUAGCUGAUACUUGGCACAUCAAUUCUUUAAAUGAGGAAUUCCAUUGACAAUUUUAGUGAAAAUAAUUAUAGAAAAAUAUUUUAGAAGCAACUUUUUUUUGUUCUUGGUUAUAAAAUUAAGUAAUUAUGCUAUAAUAUUCUAACUUAGAGGCUAUCCUGGAGACAUCAAUCAUUCCAGCUUGAUCAGGAGAGGUUGGAAGACUUGAUUGUGUUUAUUUAAUGAAAUACUCAUUUGAAUCAAGUGGAGAGUUGCUUUCACAAGAAUCAUUUUAUCUUCAGAGAAAGUCUUUUUUUUUUUGACGGGCAGAGUAGACAGAGAGAAAGGUCUUCCUUUUCUGUUGGUUCAUCCCCCAAUGGCCAUUGCGGCCGGCGCACCGCACUGAUCCGAAGCCAGGAGCCAGGUGCUUCCUCCUGGUCUCCCAUGCUGGUGCAGGGCCUAAGCACUUGGACCAUCCUCCACUGCCUUCCUGGGCCACAGCAGAGAGCUGGACUGGAAGAGGAUCAACCGGGACAGAACUGGCGCCCCAACCGGGACUAGAACCGGGUGUACCUGUAAUGUUGGCAUCCCAUAUGAGUCACAACUGCCCUGCUAAUGUGCCUAGAAAAGCAGCUGAAUAUGGCCUAGGUAUUUGUGCCUUCCCCCCACACCCCCGCCAUGGAAGACCAAAAUGGUGUUCCUGGUUCCUGGAUUCGGCGUGGCCCAGUACUGGCCAUUGUAGCCAUUUGGGGAGUGAACCAGCGGGUGGCAGUUCCUUUCUUCCCUACUCCCUCUCUGUCUCACAACAUUUCAAGUGAAUAAAUAAAUACAUGUUUUUUAAAUAGACCA